rnacentral:rRNA from 1 species
GACGUAGGGUGCAAGCGUUGUCCGGAUUUACUGGGCGUAAAGAGCGCGUAGGCGGCUCGUUAAGUGUGAAGCUAAAUCUCUUGGCUCAACCAAGAACUAUUUCGCAUACUGGCGGGCUGGAGUGAUGCAGAGGUGGAUAGAAUUCCCGGUGUAGCGGUGAAAUGCGUUGAUAUCGGGAGGAAUACCCGUGGCGAAGGCGGUCCACUGGGCAUCAACUGGACGCUGAGGCGCGAAAGCGUGGGUAGCAAACAGG